GACCUGACUGCUAUCGGAUUGAUACUAAGCCAUGCGAGUCAUUGUAGCAAUACAAGGCAUACGGCUCAGUAACGCGUAGUCAACCUAACCUAUGGACGGGAAUAACCUCGGGAAACUGAGAAUAAUGCCCGAUAGAACACUAUACCUGGAAUGGUUUGUGUUCCAAAUGAUUUAUCGCCAUAGGAUGGGACUGCGGCCUAUCAGUUUGUUGGUGAGGUAAUGGCCCACCAAGACUAUUACAGGUACGGGCUCUGAGAGGAGUAGCCCGGAGAUGGAUUCUGAGACACGAAUCCAGACCCUACGGGGUGCAGCAGGCGCGAAAACUUGGCAAUGCGAGAAAUCGUGACCAGGGAACUCCAAGUGCAUCGGGUAAGACCGGUGCUUUUCUUGACUCUAAAUAGGUCUUGGAAUAAGGGGUGGGUAAGGACGGUGCCAGCCGCCGCGGUAAUACCGGCGCCUCAAGUGGUAGUCGCUUUUAUUGGGCCUAAAACGUCCGUAGCCGGUCUGAUACAUUCGUGGGUAAAUCAACCAGCUUAACUGGUUGAAUUCUGCGAGGACGGUCAGACUUGGGACCGGGAGAGGUGUGGGGUACGCUCAGGGUAGGGGUAAAAUCCUGUCAUCCUGAGCGGACCACCUGUUGCGAAGGCGCCACACUAGAACGGAUCCGACGGUCAGGGACGAAGCCUAGGGGCACGAACCGGAUUAGAUACCCGGGUAGUCCUAGGUGUAAACGCUGUGGACUUGAUGUUGGGGGUGCUCCGAGCACUCUCAGUGUCGAAGCGAAGGUGAUAAGUCCACUGCCUGGGAAGUACGGUCGCAAGGCUGAAACUUAAAGGAAUUGGCGGGGGAGCACCGCAACCUGAGGAUUGUGCGGUUUAAUUGGAUUCAACGCCGGAAAACUCACCAUAGCCGACGGACAAAUGAAGGUCAGUGUAAUGAACUUACCGGAUUGUUCGAGAGGUAGUGCAUGGCCGCCGUCAGUUCGUACCGCAAGGCGUUCUGUUAAGUCAGAUAACGAACGAGACCCUCAUCUCUAUUUGCUAACUGGAUCUCCGGAUCCAGUGCACUAUAGGGAGACCGCUGGCGCUAAGUCAGAGGAAGGGGAGGGCAACGGUAGGUCAGUAUGCUCCGAAUGCUAUGGGCUACACGCGCAAUACAAAGGACAGGACAAUGGGCAGCUGCUCCGAAAGGAAUGAUAGCUAUCCCGAAACCUGUUCGUAGUUCGGAUUGAGGGCUGUAACUCGCCCUCAUGAAGCUGGAUUAGGUAGUAAUCGCGUCUCAAAAAGGCGCGGUGAAUAUGCCCCUGCUCC
rnacentral:rRNA from 1 species